rnacentral:rRNA from 1 species
GGCCCGCACAAGCGGAGGAGCAUGUGGUUUAAUUCGAUGAUACGCGAGGAACCUUACCAAGGCUUAAAUGUAAUAUGACCGGUUGAGAGAUCAACCUUUUUCGAACAGAUUACAAGGUGCUGCAUGGUUGUCGUCAGCUCGUGCCGUGAGGUGUCGGGUUAAGUCCCAUAACGAGCGCAACCCUAUUUUAGUUACCAGCGAGUAAUGUCGGGAACUCUAGAAAAACUGCCUGUGCAAAACAGAGAGGAAGGUGGGAUGACGUCAAAUCAAUCACGGCCCUUAUGUCUUGGGCUACACACGUGCUACAAUGGUUACUACAAUGUGAUGCCAUCUGGUGACAGAGAGCUAAUCAAUAAAGGUAAUCUCAGUUCGGA